rnacentral:rRNA from 1 species
AAUAUUGGACAAUGGGGGGAACCCUGAUCCAGCCAUGCCGCGUGUGUGAAGAAGGUCUUAGGAUUGUACAGCACUUUAAGUUGGGAGGAAGAGUUGUAGGCUAAUACCUUGCAAUUUUGACGUUACCAACAGAAUAAGUACCGGCUCACUUCGUGCCAUCCGCCGCGGUAAUACGAAGGGUGCAAGCGUUAAUGGGAAUUACUGGGCGUAAAGAGAGCGUAGGUGGUUCGUUAAGUUGGAAGUGAAAGCCCCGGGCUUAACCUGGGAAUUGCUUUCAAAACUGACGAGCUAGAGUACGGUAGAGGGUAGUGGAAUUUCCUGUGUAGCGGUGAAAUGCGUAGAUAUAGGAAGGAACAUCAGUGGCGAAGGCGACUACCUGGACUGAUACUGACACUGAGGUGCGAAAGCGUGGGGAGCAAACAGG